GUCCGAGUGCAUGGGUUUUACGUCUCCGCGUGAAGGUUUAUCCUGACGGGAUGUUUUUGCCAAUUGAAAACUAUAUUUCGACCAGUCGUUCUGGGCUCUGCUCAGCACGCAAUUUUUACGUAUAAUCUUG
rnacentral:snRNA from 1 species